CGGGGUGUGGCCCAGCUGGUCUAAGGCGCAUGCAUGGGGUGCAUGAGAUCGGAGGUUCAAAUCCUCUCACCCCGA
rnacentral:tRNA from 1 species